AAGGAAGGAAGGAAGGAAGGAAGGAAGGAAGGAAGGAAGGAAGGAAGGAAGGAAGGAAGGAAGGAAGGAAGGAAGAAAGGAAGGAGGCGGGACCGCACAUGGGUCCUGGAGGAAGGAGAGGCCUGGGCACUUCUGCUGCCCUGCUCCCGCCGCCCCUGAAGGCUCACAGCUGCCUCCUGCCCAGCGGGGCUGGUGCAGAGCCCUCCCUUGAUGAGAUGAAAGGCCCCGUCCUUCCCAGGAUUCGGGCUCACACCGCUCCAGGGGACACGCAGACCAGACUCUGUCCUGAAAGCAGAGAGCAGCUUCACCAGACAAGUGAACCCACCACCUGCCAGUGCCUCGAGCUUGAACUUCUGAGCUUCAGGAACGGGUUAUUGGCUGCAGAUGUACUGAGCUGAGGUGAAGUCUCAUGGGAGUGGACCCCUAAUUCCCUACAAGAGGUGAGAUGCCAAGAGGAGCCAGCUACGGGACAGCAUGGCACCAGAGACAGAGUUGGCGAGGAGACCUGAGGACUCCCAGGGACACCGGAAGCAAAGAGAAAGCAGGGGCCCAGUCUCGGCCCCCGCCCCGGAGCCUUGGAGAGAGCGCAGCCCAGCAGAUGGUGUGGUGUCAGACUUCCAGCCCCCCAGAGGGUCCAUGCUGUGAAGCCACUGUGGUCACGGCAGCCUAGGAAUCGAACCUGUAACCUGCUGCCUCCAAUGAGGUCCCUGGAAAGAGCUCACGCUGCCAACUCAGCCACAGCUCAUUGUGUGAGGCCGGGCAUGUAGCUUCCAGGACACCCGCUUGUCCCUCUCUUCGGGCUCCGGGGUCCCAGCAGCAGCUCCUGCCCAGGGCCGCCUCCACCUGGAACUGGCACUCAGUCCUGUGACACCCCCUCCCCUGGGGACCAGGCCCACCCAGCGCUGGCUCCGGCCUGAGCUCCAGCCCAGGUGCGUGGCUGCUCCCCGCUUCUCUCAGUGCCAUCACCCGUUAACCAGUUUCCUGCAUUACAUCACUUCCGGUACACAGACUUUGGGAGACCUUGUGUUCCUGGCUCCGUGGAACUGCUGAGUCCCUCUCUGCCCCCUGGAGUUUUAGUGACGAUCUGCUUGCCUCUCUUACCCUCUCAUCUGAGGGCUGUGUGGUGCAGGGUCUGUGCCAGCCGGCUCACUGUUAGGCCCAUGUACCCCGAAACAGUGCAUGGGCACAGUAAUUACCCAAGGAAGGCGUGCAUGGUGAAUGAAUAAAAUAUCACAGUCAGCUUCCUGCCUGCCUGUUAAGCCCACCUUCUCUUUCUUCAUCUUUCAGUCCCCCCUUGCUCAAGAAAAUAAACCUUGCUGCUCCGCCCUCCUGCUGAAGGUUUACUAAGUGGGGGCACACAGCACAGGGAAACCACGGCAGUGACCUCUGUCCAACCAGGCCACCCACUUCCACCACUCCUCCUCCUCUGGUGUCCAAGAAGACAGAAAAGGAGCCGGGCAUAAACACCACACUCACCCGGGUAGGGGAAUUCCAGCAGAGGACACAGUUGCAGCUCCCACAGGGGACUUCCUCCUGGCACCCAGGGGCUGUGGAGAGGGACUGUUGCAGAGGAAGGCUCUGUCCCCACCUCCCCUUCCCAGGGAUGCAGGCCCCAGGAUGCGUCCCUGCAGCUCUGCUUUGCCGGAGGAGGGUUUGCAAGGACCACGUGCUGGCCUGGGCCCCAGGUCUGCUGGGUGGGAGGGUCGUUCUGGGUC